CCCCAGGGCACUCAUGACACCAUAACCACUACAUUGUGUUGUAGUGGUUAUGGUGUUUAGAGUGUUCCUUUU